AGAAAAACAGAGAAAGACUACAAGGUACUAACUACUAGGUAGGUUAGUUUGAUCACUCAUACUUCAGCCAAAGUCUCAUUAGGUUACUGAACUUUUUGAGGUUCUUCCUUGCAAUGAUGGAGUUACGAACGAGUCUAUCAAUCUUUUUGAAAGUAUGCGACACCGGCGUUGAGAUCGAGUUAUGCAACCUGUUAUUACGCUCCCACCAGAGUGAAUAGACAGUCGCCUGAGCAGCUAACCGACGAAGCGUGAGGGGACAUACAUUGUCUCUCAAACCAAGCCAGUCCAUACAAUCUUUAUUCUUUCCCUUUGUUCACUUCGCCUCUCUCUCUCUCUCUUUAGUCUCUACAAAUUCACAGCAAAAAUAAAAGCUUCGAUUUUUGUUUCCAUCUUUGCAAAAAAAAGAAGCUUUGUAGUUAUCUGUUUGGGCUCAUCCGUUUUUUUUGCUCCGGGAUCUCAUUUUCCGGUUUCAGAUAAAGACAAAAGCUUAAAGCUUCCUCCGGUUUUGUCUUCGGGGUUGAAUAACAAAGCCAAGAAGAAAGGAUCAUCUCCCCACCUGACUCCUGCUCCGCCGAUCGCUUGCACACCAUUUUUUUGUUUUAUUUCUCAGGGGAAUUUUGUAUGUAUAUCUGGCUAAACAACCAUUUUAAUCAUAUCUAUUGCGAUUUGUUAAAGAUUUAAUUCUAUGUUUA